UACAGAGGUCUCAAGCGUUGUUCGGAUUCAUUGGGCGUAAAGGGGUGCGUAGGCGGCGCGGUAAGUCGGGUGUGAAAUCUCGGAGCUUAACUCCGAAACUGCAUUCGAUACUGCCGUGCUUGAGGACUGGAGAGGAGACUGGAAUUUACGGUGUAGCGGUGAAAUGCGUAGAUAUCGUAAGGAAGACCAGUGGCGAAGGCGGGGUCUCUGGACAGUUCCUGACGCUGAGGCACGAAGGUCAGGGGAGCAAACGGG
rnacentral:rRNA from 1 species